rnacentral:misc_RNA from 1 species
GAUGAAGAACGUAGCGAAAUGCGAUACGUAAUGUGAAUUGCAGAAUUCAGUGAAUCAUCGAGUCUUUGAACGCACAUUGCGCCCCCUGGUAUUCCGGGGGGCAUGCCUGUCCGAGCGUCAUUGCUGCCCUCAAGCACGGCUUGUGUGUUGGGCCUCCGUCCUCCUCCCGGGGGACGGGCCCGAAAGGCAGCGGCGGCACCGCGUCCGGUCCUCGAGCGUAUGGGGCUUCGUCACCCGCUCUUGUAGGCCCGGCCGGCGCUUGCCGACACAUCAAUCUUUUUUCCAGGUAGACCUCGGAUCAGGUAGGGAUACCCGCUGAACUUAAGCAUAUCAAUAAGCGGAGGA